rnacentral:rRNA from 1 species
GAUGAACGCUGGCGGCGUGCCUAAUACAUGCAAGUCGAGCGAACAGAUAAGGAGCUUGCUCCUUUGACGUUAGCGGCGGACGGGUGAGUAACACGUGGGUAACCUACCUAUAAGACUGGGAUAACUUCGGGAAACCGGAGCUAAUACCGGAUAACAUUUGGAACCGCAUGGUUCUAAAGUGAAAGAUGGUUUUGCUAUCACUUAUAGAUGGACCCGCGCCGUAUUAGCUAGUUGGUAAGGUAACGGCUUACCAAGGCAACGAUACGUAGCCGACCUGAGAGGGUGAUCGGCCACACUGGAACUGAGACACGGUCCAGACUCCUACGGGAGGCAGCAGUAGGGAAUCUUCCGCAAUGGUCGAAAGCCUGACGGAGCAACGCCGCGUGAGUGAUGAAGGGUUUCGGCUCGUAAAACUCUGUUAUUAGGGAAGAACAAACGUGUAAGUAACUGUGCACGUCUUGACGGUACCUAAUCAGAAAGCCACGGCUAACUACGUG